UUGGUUUAAUCUUGUAAAAUUACGAAGAUCCUUAACUUUUUUUUUUUUUUGAGAGAAUUGACCUAAGUUAUUUUCUCAACUCUCAGACCCAAAAUCCCAAAGAAUACAAUUACAAAUAACUGCCAAAAUCAUCAAUGUGUUUCAUACACUCACCGGAAUCGCCGGCGCCGGCGCCGUCGUAUUUGUCGGCGUUUACCUCGCCGGACACAACUUUUUCCUCUACCAUAUUUCAUAUCUGCUAUAAUUUGAUGAAUUGCAAAAUCAACAUUUUUCUAAUUCUAAAAAAUUGUCAUUUUUAGCAACAAUUCUUACUGUUUUUGUGGAAAUUGCAGCUAGCAUAUGAAUGGAGGCAGAAGUGUGUUCUGGAUACCGAGAAUAAGUUUUCAGGUGUUUUGUUUCAUUCUGAACUUCAUUUAUAAAUGGUAGAGACCAAUGGAAAUCUAAGGAAUUUCAUCUACAGCAUUCCCUAGAGCUGAGGUUCACUCUUAAGAAGUUACGUGCUACAACUGAGAGAUAAAGAACCAUGUUAGCGAACGAAGUUAUCACUCUUGGAGCCGCCAUUUUUGGAUUAUUGACAUCUAUUGCAGGCUCAACGGCUUGCUUUUACAAUUCUUAUAAAACAAGUAGAAUCAAUUUAUCAAUUUUGAAAGUUAAAGUGCAGAAUCUUGAGAUCUUGAUUCAAGAACUUCAACAGAAAUUGAAUGGGAUUGAUGUGCUUAAGCAUGAUCCUCGUGAAUGGAUUUCUAGAGCGAGAGAAUUCCUAGAAACGGUUAAUAUUUCGGAUCUCGAAAGCCGUCUUAACGAGAAUUGUGUUGGUGGGCAGCUACCCAACUUUUGCAGCCGAUUUGGUGCUCUGAAAUCAAUUGAAGAAAGUAAUCAUGGAUUGGAUGUGCUACUAGACAGUGGUAAAAACGUUUCUCGGGAAAUCAAGGUCAAAGGAUCUAUACAGCCAGAGGUGAACAUUGUAGGCAAUGCUAGAAAAGAAAUAAAAAAAAGGAUAUGGGAGCAGGUUUCACAAGCAGAAACAGCUGGAAUAGUGUGCAUUCAUGGUAUGACAGGUGUUGGCAAGACAGCUUUCGCUGCAGCAAUUCAUAAUAAAGCAUUGAAAGAGUUGACAGCUUUUGAGAACGUAAUUUGGGUGAAUGUUGAGAAUGGAUCAGGGCUCAAACAUAUUCAAGAAGAACUUGCUAGCAAGUUACAGGUACACCUUCCUGGCACUACAGUUAAUAAAGAAACUUUGAGGAGUGCUUUGAUGCAAAGAGGAAGAUUCCUGCUGGUUUUAGAUUCUAUGUGGCAAGCGUUUUCUCUCCAUGAUAUUGGAAUUCCAGAACCAGUUGCUGGCUCAAAGCUGAUAGUGACUUCAAAAACUUAUUCUGUCUGCAGAAAGAUCACGAAAAACAUCAAGAGUAGAGAAAUUUAUGAAAUAAAACCACUUUUGGAGGCUGAGGCUUGGGAUCUGUUUCAGGGGGAAGUAGGACCUAACAUUGUAAAUUUAGAAAGUGAAACAGUUUCUAUCGCUCAGCGUGCAGUAAAGAAUCUUGAUGGCCUUCCAUUGGCGAUUAAGUUGUUUGCUGAAACUCUCAGUGAAGUUCAUGAUGAUUACGGUAGUGGAAUCGAUGCUGCUUGGAAGGAUGAGUUAUUUUCAUUGAGUAGAUCAACAUCUCUACUUGGUAACAAGAGCCAAGAGUUAUUUGAUUGUUUCAAGUAUAGCUAUGAGUGCUUUGGAAAGACUUCAAUGUCAUGUUUCAUUUACUGUACUUUAUUUCCAGAGGGUUAUCUGAUUAAGCCAAAGGAGUUGAUAGACUAUUGGAUGUGGGAAGGGCUUUUAGGUCCUAUUUCAUCUCUAGGAGAAAGCAUGAGGUUGGGGAGGCAAACAUUGAACGAGCUUAAAUUUGCUCACCUUCUUGAGAGUGUGAAGAGUGAAAGCGGAGAAGAAUCAUUAAAGAUGAUUAAUUUGGUUCGACAUGUGGCGAUGGAUGCCAUUUCUAAGUCCGGCAAUCAUUUCUUCAUUAAGUGUGGACAAUCACUAGGUGAGUUUCCGUCAGCUUAUGAUUGGCCCGCCAAUACCGAGAGAGCCUCACUUGUGCAAAAUCAGUUGAGAGCUUUGCAGAACUCUCCUGAUUGCAAUAAACUCUCUACUUUGCUGCUGCAAGACAACCCCCUGAACUUAGUUCACCAUGAGAAUUUCUUUUCCAAGAUACGCAAUCUUCGAGUCCUUGACCUAUCCCGUACUAGCAUCUCAUCCCUACCAAAAUCUUUCUCUGGCUUGACAAACCUACACGCACUACUGCUGCGUAGUUGCAGAAACCUGAAACUUCUACCUUCCUUGUCCAACCUUCACAGAUUGAUUGUGAUUGACAUCUCUGAGACACCCUUAGAACAAGUUCCUGACGGGUUGCACAACUUGAUAAAUUUAAGGCGCCUAGAUCUUUCUAAAACUAAAAUUGAGGUGUUCCCGGCUACAGUACUUGGUAAACUAACUGAAAUGGAAGAAUUGUUACUGAUUACUGCAGAAAAUGGUGGUUAUGUGUGGGGGUCAAAUCUGAUAUUCCCACAAUGGCCAGGUGCUUGUAUUGAAGAACUUCUGGACUUGAAAAAGAUGGUUGUUCUUCAGCUAGCCUUCUUGAAUCCAGAAGUGUUUAAUAGAUUUGUGGACCAAGUAGAUGAUCAACAGCGUGCAAUUCAACUGCGCAGUUUUAAAUUUUACGUGGGUGGUAUCUACAGUGGUGGUGAUAUUGGUGAUAAUAGCGUAGUAGUAAUGGGUGACUGUAGUAUUAGGGUUCCCAGAGGAACAUCUGAGCUGUACUUGAUGAAGCACAGCCAGGAGCUACUCUCACUGAAGUUUGAUGGUUGCAUGCGCGACUUAACAAUUGUGGAUGUCUCGAGGUUUGAUGCACUGACUUAUCUGUUUACACUUGAGAUGCUAGGUAGCCUCAAAAGCCUCAAGAAGAUAUGUGUUAAACACUGUAAGAAGAUGAAAUCUGUAAUACAGCCAGCUGCAGAAGCCAACCCAACUUCUAUAACUAUUCCAAAGUUAACAAAUUUUAAGCUUUAUGACUUGCAAAAUUUAGAGAGCAUCUAUGAUGGGAAAGUACUGAGUUGCCCGUCUUUGCAUGGAUUUGAGGUUUUUAAUUGUAAAAAACUCAAGCUUCCUAAGGUCUUGGUGGGACGGCAAAAUUGUAUUAUUGAGAUUGUAGGAGAGAAAGAAUGGAUUGAUAAAGUGAUGGAGGAUGGUCCAAGCCCACAUUUAAAAUAUACUGAAGCAUUAGUGCCUGCAGAGCUGUCUACUCCCAGUUUUAGGUUAAGAAGGUCGGAGUCGUUUGUCAGCUUCAGGGAUACUCAUGAAGAUAGUGGGAGAAGUCUUGGAGCUACGAUUCCCCGUUGGCACAGAUUAUUUCACCCGUUUAGGGGUAGUGCGGUCUUUUCACCGGCUGCAGACACCCUCCAUAUUGCCAGCACCACCAGUAACGAUGCAAUAUCCGAGGUUUCUGUUCUUCCACAUGCAGAAGCUGGUACAUCGCAAAGAGGGUUUAACAGAACCCGCAGCAGUCGCUCUGAUUGACCGUCUUUUGUCGGGAAAUUGAUUUUGGCAAACCCCUUGUGAGUAGAGCAUGGAAAACUGUCAGUGGCGUGCCAAAAUCAUUUCCCUUUUUUAUUGGCUAAACUUAGCCAAGUCUUCAUGUAUCCUAAAAUGGUUAGUAUCAUUACGUGUUAUUUCCUCUGCUAUUGUGUACAAUGCUUGUUGUACAUAUGGGGUAGGCUGGCCUGCUGGAUCAAACCUCGAGGAUUCAGGCGCCGCGCGGGCGGUCAAAAGACCCGUCCGUGACAGAGUGUUGUAAAAAUAAGCUCCUAAUCGAACGAGUUAUAAAAAAUGACACGAAUUGUUAUUUUUAUUAAAUUUCUCAUAAGGUUUUUAUUUUUCACAAAUGGGAGUGUUGUUUUAGAUGG